ACGGAGAAUGCGACGGGAGUGGCGGAACAGCCCUAUCACUACCAGCAACCCGAUGAAGACUCAGAGGUGAGCUGUGAGCCACCUGUGGAGGCCAGCGAGGAGCAGCAACAGCAACAGCACGAGGUUCAGCCUCAAAGCAACAUUAAUUCCGAACAGGACCCCGACAAGAUUCAUGAGAAUUUUAACGAUGUCCUGGAGUUCAUACAACAGCGUAUCCUGCCCACUCUGCGGUAAAAUGAAUGAUAAAUGAAAUGUAUUGGAGUUGGUGAAAUAAAUGUAAUGCGGAACCGGAAUCGGUUUUAAAGCACUUAUUUUAGCUGUAA